UACGAAGGGGGCUAGCGUUGUUCGGAUUUACUGGGCGUAAAGCGCACGUAGGCGGAUUGUUAAGUCAGGGGUGAAAUCCUGGAGCUCAACUCCAGAACUGCCUUUGAUACUGGCAAUCUAGAGUCCGGAAGAGGUGAGUGGAACUCCUAGUGUAGAGGUGGAAUCCGUAGAUAUUAGGAAGAACACCAGUGGCGAAGGCGGCUCACUGGUCCGGUACUGACGCUGAGGUGCGAAAGCGUGGGGAGCAAACAGG
rnacentral:rRNA from 1 species